rnacentral:rRNA from 1 species
GGAUGAAUAUUGCACAAUGGGAGAAAUCCUGAUGCAGCGACGCCGCGUGUGGGAAGAAGGAGCUUAGCUUCGUAAACCACUGUCGGAGGGGACGAAUGAUAGGUUAGACCUAUUGAGACGGUACCCUCAAAGGAAGGAUCGGCUAACUACGUGCCAGCAGCCGCGGUAAUACGUAGGAUCCGAGCGUUGUCCGGAGUUACUGGGUGUAAAGGGUGCGUAGGCGGACUUGUGCGUCAGAGGUGAAAUCCAC